rnacentral:rRNA from 1 species
AGGGAUAAGCGCUGAAAGCAUCUAAGUGCGAAGCUCGCCUGAAGAUGAGACUCCCCACCGGGUUAACCGGGUAAGGCCCCUGCUAGACCAGCAGGUUGAUAGGACGCACGUGGAAGCACAGCAAUGUGUGGAGCUGAGCGUUACUAAUGGCCGAGGGCUCGCGCCU